CGGGAACCGAGAGAGAGAGAAAGGGUGCUGCCACCAUAGAAACUUGCCUCCGUGGUCAUGUAGGCCGCUGGGGGGUGGUGAGGAAGCGUCGUCGGGGUCUUCCACACGUUAGGAGUUCGGAGUAGGACGGGAUUCGUCGCCGGGCCGCGGAUCCUCCCCACAUCAACACCAUGUCGUCCUACGGUGUAUCACAAGAAGGCCUUGCGCCGGUGAGGUUUCGCCGUGGUCAAGGCGGCGCCGUCGCCUGGUGGCAUCGGAG
rnacentral:lncRNA from 7 species